rnacentral:rRNA from 1 species
UACGUAGGGUGCAGGCGUUAAUCGGAAUUACUGGGCGUAAAGGGCUCGUAGGCGGCCAACUAAGUCAUACGUGAAAUCCCUCAGCUUAACUGGGGAACUGCGUGUGAUACUGGAUGGCUUGGAUUGGGAGAGGGAUGCGGAAUUCCUGGUGUAGCGGUGAAAUGCGGCAGAUAUCAGGAGGAACACCGAUGGCGGAGGCAGGUCUCUGGGCCAUAACUGACGCUGAGAAGCGAAAGCAUGGGGAGCGAACAGG